UACGUAGGGACCAAGCGUUGUUCGGAUUUACUGGGCGUAAAGCGCGUGUAGGCGGCUCUUCAAGUCAGGCGUGAAAGCCCCGGGCUCAACUCGGGAACUGCGCUUGAUACUGUCGAGCUAGAGUGUGGAAGGGGCGAUUGGAAUUCCGUGUGUAGCGGUGAAAUGCGUAGAUAUACGGAGGAACACCAGAGGCGAAGGCGGAUCGCUGGGCCAACACUGACGCUGAGACGCGAAAGCUAGGGUAGCAAACGGG
rnacentral:rRNA from 1 species